ACAUGCCUACAACAUAACAUUAAUGCACCAGAUCCCAUUAGAACUCCGCAGUUAAGUGCGCUCAGGCUAAACUAGUACUGGGAUGGGUGACCGCCCAAAAAGUCCUAGUGUUUUACAUGCC
rfam:Picea glauca, whole genome shotgun sequence.